rnacentral:sRNA from 1 species
CUGCAGUCAAGAGCACAAAGCGCAACGCGUCGGUUCGGGAAUUGAUUUAACGGAAUAGUGCUUAUUUGAUCCGUUGCUUCGUGUGUUUAGAAAUUUUAUAUGUAUUUCAUGUGGCUACAACUCCAAAAUCGUAUUCUAUUUGAGAUACGGGCGGUAUUUAACCGAGAAUAUUCACUUAUACCUCUCUGGACUGCUGGCAUUUAACUAAUACGCAAUUAUGUUGCGCAGACGCAAAGUGGACGAAAAUCGGGACACAACAAAUUGAGCAAGCAAACGAUUUAGCAGCUACGUGGAUAUAGAAUGGAUGAACAAUAUUGCUUUUUUUCUAUGUCUGGAGGGCAGGAUCGCAUAUACAUUUGACGUAGACUGACCCGUUAUAAAACCUCACUGCUCGCUGCGAUAAGAGACGAUUUCGGGACAACAGCUCUACCAAUUCGAAUGUCCCUGUUGCUUUUGAGCUGCUUAGUCUGAGCGCAUUUGUUGCACGUCUUCCAAAGAUCCAAUGAUAUUGUGCUGCCUGAAGCAAACUCUGGACUACGGACUGGGACUACAUGGGUUUCAUGUGCGGACGACUCUGCUGCUGCCAGGCUCUCUGCUGGAAUUCACACUACAUUGACAAAUUAAGGACCACAAUUAAUUUCAAGGACCUCCACGAUUAGCAAAGCAAAUUUUUUCAGGAUCGGACUUCAAUUAGAACAGAUAUAGCUAUUUUAAGUUCAAAUUCAAUGAAAGCAGGUUACUUGCCCAUUAUAAAAUAUUUAUAGGCUUAAUAGAACAUAACUCGCAGCAUAACAGCAUGCGAAUUUGACUAAUGGGGCUACAUUAACACAGAAUAAAGUUGCUCAAGUCCAUUAAAACGGCGCUCAGAAAAUAGAGCACGCAAAUGCCCAGACGAGAACCUCAAUGCACGCUGUUAUUGGUUGGACCAAUCAGCGAUCAGCGUCGAAAAAGUCGUGAGCGCAUGAGAACGUAAAUGACAGCGAACAUCCACACGAACAGGUGUCUGCCUGCUUAUCUCUGGCUUCGGCGCAUCUCUGCACCUGUUUGUGUGGAUGUGUAUGCUUGCCAAUGUGUCGCAUCGAUCUCACUCGAAUUUUGAUUGCUUGCUAAUUUUCUGUGCGCCGGGUUUUUUCUUCCGCUUGAGUCAC